rnacentral:rRNA from 1 species
CUGGAGGUAUCAGAAGUGCGAAUGCUGACAUAAGUAACGAUAAAGCGGGUGAAAAGCCCGCUCGCCGGAAGACCAAGGGUUCCUGUCCAACGUUAAUCGGGGCAGGGUGAGUCGACCCCUAAGGCGAGGCCGAAAGGCGUAGUCGAUGGGAAACAGGUUAAUAUUCCUGUACUUGGUGUUACUGCGAAGGGGGGACGGAGAAGGCUAUGUUGGCCGGGCGACGGUUGUCCCGGUUUAAGCGUGUAGGCUGGUUUUCCAGGCAAAUCCGGAAAAUCAAGGCUGAGGCGUGAUGACGAAGCACUACGGU